rnacentral:snRNA from 1 species
GCCAGGCCUCGAUGAGUAGGAGGGCGC